rnacentral:tRNA from 1 species
CAAAAUAUAGCUUAAAUAAAGUUUUUCGCUUACACCGGAAAGAUAUCUGCGCAACCCAGACUAUUUUGA